CACGUAGGGCGCGAGCGUUGUCCGGAAUUAUUGGGCGUAAAGAGCUCGUAGGCGGCCUGUUGCGUCCGCUGUGAAAGCCCGGGGCUUAACCCCGGGUCGGCAGUGGAUACGGGCAGGCUAGAGGUAGGUAGGGGAGAAUGGAAUUCCCGGUGUAGCGGUGAAAUGCGCAGAUAUCGGGAGGAACACCGGUGGCGAAGGCGGGUCUCUGGGCCGAAACUGACGCUGAGGAGCGAAAGCGUGGGGAGCAAACAGG
rnacentral:rRNA from 1 species